AUUUAUGGAGAGUUUGAUCCUGGCUCAGGACGAACGCUGGCGGCGUGCCUAAUACAUGCAAGUCGAGCGAACCGACGGGAGCUUGCUCCCUUAGGUUAGCGGCGGACGGGUGAGUAACACGUGGGUAACCUGCCUGUAAGACUGGGAUAACUCCGGGAAACCGGGGCUAAUACCGGAUGCUUGAUUGAACCGCAUGGUUCAAUCAUAAAAGGCGGCUUCGGCUGCCGUUUACAGAUGGACCCGCGGCGCAUUAGCUAGUUGGUGAGGUAAUGGCUCACCAAGGCGACGAU
rnacentral:rRNA from 1 species